rnacentral:rRNA from 1 species
UAGGGAAUCUUCGGCAAUGGACGAAAGUCUGACCGAGCAACGCCGCGUGAGUGAAGAAGGUUUUCGGAUCGUAAAACUCUGUUGUUAGAGAAGAACAAGGACGUUAGUAACUGAACGUCCCCUGACGGUAUCUAACCAGAAAGCCACGGCUAACUACGUGCCAGCAGCCGCGGUAAUACGUAGGUGGCAAGCGUUGUCCGGAUUUAUUGGGCGUAAAGCGAGCGCAGGCGGUUUCUUAAGUCUGAUGUGAAAGCCCCCGGCUCAACCGGGGAGGGUCAUUGGAAACUGGGAGACUUGAGUGCAGAAGAGGAGAGUGGAAUUCCAUGUGUAGCGGUGAAAUGCGUAGAUAUAUGGAGGAACACCAGUGGCGAAGGCGGCUAUCUGGUAUGUAACUGACGCUGAGGCUCGAAAGCGUGGGGAGCAAACAGG